GUCCAAAAUAUUUAUUAGCAAUAUUUAAACAAGUAACAGCGUUGUCUAGUUAGAUAACAGGAAAAGCUACAGAGGGUCAUACUUAUUUUAACAUCAUCAUCAUCAAGUUUCACCGUGACGUGCGCAAAGGCGGCAAGCUUAAAACUGAAUCUUCAGUUGUUUCGAUUUAGGUAUCCGAGUUUGAAGUAGUGUUUUGUCGUCUAGUAGUUUGGCGUUUGGGCACUAAACUGGUGGGGUGAUUAUUCUUUGGUGACGCUUUGUUCGCUGUCCGUUUGCCAUCAGCAGUGAACUAAGUAGUUGCAUUAGCCUUGCUGAAAAUGGACAGAUACGAGAAGAUUGAAGUGGUCGGAAGAGGCGCAUUUGGGGUUGUAACGCUGUACUCCGAGAAGUCCACCGGACGGAAAGUGGUCAUCAAGCACAUUCCUGUGCAGCAGAUGUCCAAAGAAGAGAAGGAAGGGUCCCUGAAUGAGGCCAAAGUGCUAGCGAUGCUGCACCAUCCCAACAUCAUUGCCUAUUACGACAGCUUCCUCGAGGAAAAGAGCUUGGCCAUUGUCAUGGAGUAUGCCCCAGGUGGAAACUUGUAUGAUUACCUAAAGCAAAGAGGCCGUGCCCUGCUUUCUGAGAGGGAAGUGCUGAGCUACUUUGCGCAAGUAUUGCUCGCCUUAGAGCACGUUCACUCCAGAAAAAUCCUGCACAGGGACCUCAAGACUCAGAACCUGCUUCUGAACCAAUGCCGCAGCAUCGUCAAAGUUGGCGACUUUGGCAUCUCGAAGAUUCUGAGCAGCAAAAGCAAGGCAGAAAGCCUGGUAGGCACUCCAAACAACCUCUCACCAGAGGUAUUUGUAGGCAAACCCUACAACCACAAGAGUGACAUCUGGGCACUCGGCUGUAUUCUGUAUGAACUACUGACACUGAGAAGUCCCUUUGAAGGCAAUCACAUUCCAAGCCUGGUGAGAAAGAUCAUGCGAGGAUCCUAUGAGCCCGUGAGUGACCACUACAGCGCACAGAUUCACCUUCUGCUCGAGCAACUGCUGCAGAAGGAGCCAUCGCAGCGGCCAUCUGUCAACCAGCUCAUGGCACAACCCAUUUUGCUGCCUGUAAUCUGCAACCUCUACCUCACCAUCGGCUCACUACCCUGCGUUGCACAGAAAGACCGUUUGUCUUCAACACUGUCUUUGGCUAGUGUCGGUCAACAGUCUCGUGCCAGCUCAGGAGAUUUGUCAACAUCACUGCUUGUCUGGGAGAGUAAGAGUGCAGCACCUGUUAAGCUGGAAGUACCGGAUGGUCAUGGCUGCGUUAGUGAUGUGGCUGUUGGAGUGGAUUCUGUUGUAGCCGUCACAUCAUAUGGCAGUGCCAUCGUUUGGAAAGUGCCAAGUCCGGCAAGAGAGAAGACUUGCGAAGCAAAGGUCCUAAAGGACUACCUCAGUGACCGUAUAACCCGUGCUGGUUGUGGAGCCGACUUCAUCAUUUUGCUGUCAGAACGUAAGAUACUUCUGUCUUGUGGACGUGGGCAGUCAGGCAGCCUCGGUCACGGCGGCCAUUUUGACAGUGCAAAUAAACCCAAGAUAGUGCAAGCUUUGCUAGGCCACGAGAUAACACAUGUGGCCUGUGCAGCGUCGCAUGUUCUUGCCAUCGAUGAAAAUCAUGACAUCUAUGCCUGGGGAGAUGCCAGACAUGGAAUGCUGGGGAUUGACUUUUCCACUUCAACGGAUCUUCCCGUAAAAGUGGAGCUACCUGGUGGCGUUCGUCCCAUGCACUGUUUCUGCACAAUGGACAGCAGCUACCUGGUCACAGAUGCAGGUGAACUUUGGGCCUGUGGAAGCAACAGGAAUAAGAAGCUAGGCAUCAACGAUGGCAGAAAACACAUAGGAGAAUUCACUGAAGUUCCUCGGCGGCUGUUUGCAGGACAUCAUGUGAUUCACGUGACUGGCAAUGAAAACACCACCAUGAUACUAACUGAUGUUGGCAUGGUCUUCCUUCUGGGACUGCAACAGUACUCUGCUGCUACCAGCGAUGGUGCAACUGCCAGGAUGGUUUCUCUUGGAGCACAGGCAACACACGUGGGCUGUGCUGGAGACCUGUUUGUAGCUGUGCUCAAAGGUCAGUUUGUGUCAUUUUUUUCUGGCCAACACAUGCACGUUCAACCACCUACACUUCACAUCUUACACAGUAUUCCUACUCCAAAUGCUAAGGUACAGUCACAUCAAUAAACAAGGUCAUGAAGGAAUCAACAAUAGAUAACGGUGCAUGGUACACAGUAUUCCUACUCCAAAUGCUAAGGUACAGUCACAUCAAUAAACAAGGUCAUGAGCAAUCAACAAUAGAUAACGAUGCAUGGUACCAUCAGCUUCAAAAGAUAGAUUUAACUGCAGCUACGCUUUAAAGACAGCCUCUGGCCACGCUCAUCGUGAACUUGUUUUAACUUUUUGCAUCAUCUAUAUUCAGUAUUCACGUGAUGUGCUUAGUCUAUCUUUGUUUCCCUGUUUAUCAAUCAUGAAUUUAUGCUUUGUUGCCCCAUACCAAUACUAGCUGGGCCUACAAAAUACACCAAAGUGAAAAGCUCUAGAUAAAUUUCGACCACCUGCAUGGGUUUCGUAAUGUACACCUAAAUCAAAGUUCAUAAAUGUUUUUACAUUUCACCAGCAUUGGAAUACGGUUUCCACAGCCGGGAGUCGGACCUGCCACUUUAUGCUCAGAAGCACGAUGCCACGGUCACUAAGCCACCAUGGCAGGCACAGUUGGCGUCAAAAGUUUAUGGAUCGCGGGCUAUAAGAAAAUGUUGAAUUUCUAAGCAGUUUGCGACUGCAGCCAGUAAAACCGUAACACAAUGUUGUUUGCAUUCAAUGGUACUGACUGAAAAUUGGAGUAUCGCAUGGUGUGCUCAGGAACUGGAAAUAUUCAGCUUUUUCCCAAAUCCUCUGGUUUGUAAGCUUUUGACAACAACUGUACGUAAAUAGUCCACACAUCCUCACUGGGCUAGCAGAAGGGCACAGUAAGUGAACAGACCAUGUGCCUGUGCAACACACCCUAGCAUCUAGCUUUCAAUGCAGAUAUUUAGCUUGCAAAAAACAUCACUUAUGCAGUUAUUCAAAUACAAGUUUCCUACAGCUUUUUCUCUAAUCCCGCGAUUUGUAAACUUAUGACACAGACUGUAUGUACCUUAGUGGACUAACAGAAGGGCAAAUUAAGUGAAUAAAGCAUACACACACAGACACCUAGCUUCCAACAUUCAACGCAGAUUCUUGGCUAACAUCACUUCUGCAGUCUUUAAACUACAGAUUGUAUAUGGCUGCAAUGCCUCGCACUUUCAACAUGUUUUCCAAACGGCGUACGUAUCCUAGGUUCGUAUCGGAUAUAAUUGCUCUCUCCUAGAGGCAGAAAAUAUGGUCGUAUCUCAACCACAAGUUCAACACACUGCAAUCAACAGGGAUAACUGUUUCAAAUGGAAUUCUUGAAUCUAUAUGUUACACACAUGGCAAGGAUAUAAGCAGCAGCACUUAACUGCCGUGGUCUUACACCUGGCCAGAACAGAGUCAAUCAUAUUCCUUGCCCCAUUAUUACAUAUUUUAACCCGAUAGUGUUAAGGGUCCCCUGCCGUAGAAAAUCAGGUGUCGGUAUCCAGUGCCGGCGACCCUGUGAUCGAAAAUUUCCGUAUAUAUUUAGGUAUAUAUAUAUGCCAUAUUUUGCUAUACAACAUGCUGUAUAUGUGGGUUAUAUUGCCACACCAUCUUAUCACAAAAUUUGCUCAUACCUUGUCUUAGAUUUUUGACAAAGUUUUUUGGCGUGGCUGAGCAUUACCUUCAGGAUCGGCCCACGCAAGAGGAUGCAUUUCUACCAGAAAGUUCACCUCCAUGCGUAGCGUUCAUCACCACCAUUUCCCGGCACAAAACUCGUGCAGUGGAAACACCUGAAGCCAGACAACAAACCAGAAGAGAUAUAUCCGGCGCCACAGUUACCAGA